GACGAACGCUGGCGGCGUGCUUAACACAUGCAAGUCGAACGAUGAAGAAGAGAAACGCGAACUUCGGUUCAACUUUCACUUCGGAUUAGUGGCAGACGGGUGAGUAACGCGUGAGCAACCUACCUCUUACAAAGGGAUAGCCUCGGGAAACCGUGAGUAAUACCAUAUGACACAUUCAUAAGGCAUCUUAAGAAUGUUAAAGCUACGGCGGUAAGAGAUGGGCUCGCGUCCCAUUAGCUAGUUGGUGAGGUAACGGCCCACCACGGCGACGGUGGGUAACCGGCCUGAGAGGGUGAACGGUCACAUUGGAACUGAGACACGGUCCAAACUCCUACGGGAGGCAGCAGUGGGGAAUAUUGCACAAUGGAGGGAACUCUGAUGCAGCGACGCCGCGUGAGCGAUGAAGGAAUUCGUGUCGUAAAGCUCUGUUCUAUGGGAAGAAAAGGACUGUACCAUAGGAGAAAGCCCCGGCUAAAUACGUG
rnacentral:rRNA from 1 species